GAUGAACGCUAGCUACAGGCUUAACACAUGCAAGUCGAGGGGAAACGACAUCGAAAGCUUGCUUUUGAUGGGCGUCGACCGGCGCACGGGUGAGUAACGCGUAUCCAACCUGCCCACCACUUGGGGAUAACCUUGCGAAAGUAAGACUAAUACCAAUGAUAUCCCACGAAGACAUCUGAAUGGGAUUAAAGAUUUAUCGGUGAUGGAUGGGGAUGCGUCUGAUUAGCUUGUUGGCGGGGUAACGGCCCACCAAGGCAACGAUCAGUAGGGGUUCUGAGAGGAAGGUCCCCCACAUUGGAACUGAGACACGGUCCAAACUCCUACGGGAGGCAGCAGUGAGGAAUAUUGGUCAAUGGGCGAGAGCCUGAACCAGCCAAGUAGCGUGCAGGAAGACGGCCCUAUGGGUUGUAAACUGCUUUUAUAAGGGAAUAAAGUGGGUCACGUGUGACUUUUUGCAUGUACCUUAUGAAUAAGGACCGGCUAAUUCCGUG
rnacentral:rRNA from 1 species